rnacentral:tRNA from 1 species
GUGAAGUUGGCUCAGUGGUAGAGUGCUUGCCUUGCAUGCAUAAGGCCCUGGGUUCGAUUCCUCAGCACCACA